GGUGGUCUGGUGAAUGCUCAAGGAGCUGCGGAAGGGAAGUCCCUCUCCAAACUAGCCAGCCACUGAGACCUUCUGACAGGACACCCCCAGGAUGCCACCCAAAAAAGUCGGGACAGAACAAGUCAACUGGCAAGUCCAUUGCUCAGCUUGUUGAAAUACUCUGCACAGAACACAAGGAAAAACUGUUUUCAUGAGGUAGCCCAUGAAGAGAUGAAGCGAGGCAAAUUUAUCUGCCUGGAUAACCUCCUGUAUGCUGUUUUCACUCCAUGGAGAGUCAACACAACACACUUCUGAGUUGUAUUAUCAAGCUCCUUCAACAGGGCAUUGCUGUAAGAUCCUAGAUCCCACACUCCAUGAUGUGAUGUUUUAGCCAAGUCUGGAAGUAGCACAGGCCCUAAAAUCUCACGAUUGCAGGUUGUCAACUCUGCUGUAGGCUUGCCACUUCAAGGGCAAGUGGUUGAUUGGGGCUGGGAUUUGGGCAGAGCCAUAGAAAGGAAGGGAACAUUCAAGGGAAUUUGAUGAUGUGCAUGAUGUCUCUGUCUGAUACAAAAAGAAAAAAA
rnacentral:sRNA from 1 species